AAGUGCCUCCAUUUUGGAAGAGCUCCAGCCUCUGCCACGGCCUGUGGGUGUCGGUAGUCAAGGGGUUUAUUCCGCCUUGCCUUCCAGAAAGCUUCCUGGCUUUCGACCUCGGACCGGACCAGACUUGCUGCACACAGAAGAAAAACUAUCCGAGGACACAGCAAAAAAAAGAGACUUCUGCAAGCCACGCUGAGAGACCUCGAAAGGAUCCUAAUCUCCCAACAGUUCACCUUGGACUUCUAGCCCCAGAACUUCGAGAAGAUAAAUUUUUGUGGAUUAAGCUCCCAGGGUAUGGCAUUUUGUUACAGCAGCACAACCUGACUAAUACAGCCUCUUACAACUUCAA